UAGGCCCUACGGGACGCAGCAGUGGGGGAUAUUGCACAAUGGGGGGAACCCUGAUGCAGCGACGCCGCGUGGGUGAAGGAGCGGUUCGGCGCGUAAAUCCCUAUCGGCAGGGAAGAAGAUGACGGUACCUGGCCAAGAAGCCCCGGCUAACUACGUGCCAGCAGCCGCGGUAAUACGUAGGGGGCAAGCGUUAUCCGGAUUCACUGGGUGUAAAGGGAGCGUAGACGGCCAAGCAAGCCAGGGGUGAAAGCC
rnacentral:rRNA from 1 species